rnacentral:lncRNA from 1 species
UUUUAUUGAUUAAACUUGAAAAUUAAUCCAAACAGAUAAAGUUUUGAUUUUAAAUGUGAUUUGUUCUCAAAUUAUUGUAUUUGGAGGAAUAUUUAUUUGAUUUUUAUCAAAUCGAGAAAUUCGGGAUUAAUUUGUCACUUAAUUGGUGUCGGAUUGCAAUUCAAUUUGGUCCAUUAAUUAAAUUUGACUUCAAUUGAAAUCAAAUUGGCCCCAAUUGUGAUACAAUUAGCCAAUCGAUAUUCAAUUUGGCUAGAAUUUAAAUGAAAUGGCCUAAGUUGUAAUUCAAUAUCUCAAUUUUAAUUUCCAAAACGCACUCAGCCGCCCCAGGCCCAAAACCAAUCAAUACCCAUCCCAAUACCCUUCAUCAAUCUCUCUUUCUCCUCAAAACAACACCAGCCAUCUCAAUACAUUCCAACCUGUCAACUACCCGAAUCCGAUAAACCCCCAACCGAAAAUCCGGUGAACCCAGCCUCCUGACACCAACCCGACCGCGAUCCGACUAUAACCCAUCGAUAACAGCAAUAUAUGCACAGACAAUCAUUACCCGACCUGAUUUUAUCCAAAAUCGACCAAGAAAACUCGAACCAGUUGAUUCUCGUCUAAACACCUUCCUCUUCACUCAAAUUCGUACCUCCUUACGUGAUUAGCACAAUGUUUGACACAAAAUCAGUCUCGAACCUUUCGAAAACAAGCUAGGUGUCACACCCAACGGCUCAACUCCGCGAAUCUCAAAAUAAUCAAUACGGAUUCGUACAUUUUUAGCAAUUUUUGAUUGGUUCAUGAGGAAAUUUUGAUUCCUCAUCCCUUAUUGGUUAAUUAUUUUGAAUUGUUGGAGAAAAAUUUCAAAUUAGUACCGAUCUUGAACAGAAAAUCCUAUCCGGAACCCAAAAAAUUCAAAAGAUAUCCUCUCUUUCAAAUUCCUAAAUUACCCCUAAUUCGUCUUUUAUAUAAAGACUCAUUGGAUCACUGUUUCAAGGGGUUAGAGAUUGGAGGGUUCAAAAUUUUUAGGGUUCGAAAAUUGGGGGUCAAAAAUUCUGGGUUUCAAAAUUUGGGUCGGAGAUUCUAGAGUUGAAAAUUAGGGUUCGAAACUUUGGGGAUUUUUCUUUUUUUCUCUCCUCUUCUUUCUUUUCUGAAUUCGAAAAUUGGGGGUUGGAAGUUUUGAGUUCGUAAAAACUAAAGGAGAAAGAAAAAUAGGGGGGCUCUUGGAGAAAUUUUAGGGGGGCUCUUGGAGAAAUUUUAGUCUUUUAGUAGAAAUUCUGUUCCCUUUUGGAGAGUUCAUCGGUUAGAUUAGAGCCUAGAGUUGACAGCAAAGACAUUUUCCGGUGGCUGUAAAUCCAACGCUAGUUCGUUGUCACGUUUUACUGCUCUGCAAGAGGUAAAUACACUCUUUUCCUUUUAAUUUUAUGGUUUUCUUCUUCAUCCCUUUCUCUGUAGUAAUGCUUGUUUAAUAGUAAUCAUGAAUGUGGCUGGAAAUUGUUUGCUGUAGAUGCCUUUUAUGGUAGGAUUUGUUUGCGAUAGUUGUUGUUACGUCUGAAUCAAUGUUUGUACUACAGUGGUUGCUCCGUGGUCGACUUCGUGUACUUUUGGUUUCACUGUUUUAAACUCCCUGCCUCCUAUUAAGACUGUUUAGUUAUCGAUUCUUAUUCUAGCAAUAUUCUGAACAUUCUGUGCUUUUCCCGCUCGAUUCAUUGUCUUUCUUCGACUAUUGUUCCUGUAUGGACUUUGUUUAAAUGUUCAAUGUAUAGUGUCCUCUCGAUUUACUGUUCUUCGAUUCAGUUGUGAUCUCAAUGCGCCAGCCUCAUGAUUCGUGUUUGCAGUUGACCUUUGAAAUCAUGAUAACAUCAACUUUGCUAGUUUACUGAUUUUUUUUAUUAUUUAUUUUUAUUUUGAACGUGACGGCCUGACAUUGCUAGUUAUAUAGUUUGAAUAUUAGUUAUUCUAGUUCUCAUUUAUGGCCUUAGUCUGAUAUUAUCGGUGGUUUGCCUUUCUUUGCUUAGUCUUGUGUUUGCUUGGACCCCUGUGACCAGUAAAAAAUAUUUCUAAAGUUCUUUGGCAAUUAAUGCCAAGAAGGAGCAAGGAUAUGUUAUAUUCGUCACAAAUCGUCCCGUGAUCCCUCCUGAACUCGUUCUCGUCUCAAAGAGAUUUUAAGAGGUGGUUGAAGAUUUGUAAAUAAGAAAUAUUUACUGCUUAUUUUCUUUUAGUCAUCACCACAGAAGAUCAGAACACUUUGUCUAAGGUCAAGGGUCAUUGUGAUGUCUUAAAAUGGUUCCCUUUCUCUUUGACGUCUAAUUAUCAUAUGGUGUAAGCUGGUUUAUUCGUCUUUUAGAGUUAUCCUCAUCUUUUUCUGAGUAAGUGUGUUUCGUUUAUCACUCAAUUAGAUUCUUCACGACAUAUGAGUAUCAAAGUAGUGACCUUAAGUUUUAAAGUUCAUGUUCCUGUUUUUUUUUGUUUUCUUUUCUGUGUCUAUUUCCUUUUAUUCCUUCUUUGUAACUUCCCCCUUCACUAGAAUUUAUUUAUGAGGUAAGAUCCACUUUAUAUACAUGCAAAACUUUCCUUUUGUUUCGUGUUGUCUAUUGCAAGUCUAGUCAUUUUUUUGUCUCAUCUAUUUGAGGCAGGCGACGUAGUGUUUGUUUUUGGGUGAUCAAAGUUAAAUGUCGCAACUCUUCCUUUACUUAGUCUGCAUAUUUUAAAUGUAGCAUUCGAUAAUCAAAAUGUGAGAUUUGGUUUAAACUUUUCAUUAACGUUCCUAUAGUCUCCUUUUUUUUUUAUGUGAGUUUGAUUCAUGUUUCUUCAUUAUUUGAGUCAUUUAUUUUUGCAAAACACAUGUUAAUUCCUUCAUUGUUUUUCUCUUGCAUGAACUCGUUUGGGAGUCCAAAUGAACUCUUUCUUCUUGCAUUACAUAAUGGGCCAUGGAGGCCCACUCCCUUUUAGAAGACUUUUGAAAGAACUAAGAAAGCAAUCUCAUGGCAUAUGGAUAUAAAGUGAUGAAAGGAGAAAAAUGGAUUAAAGUUCCAUCUUUGAAGCAGCCAAGAGACUUAAAAGUCUCGAUUUCUAUUUUUUUUAUUUAUUUAGUCAUAGAAACGACAUCUGUUAUGUCAAUGAGACCAAAUGGAUAUUAAAUGAAUGGAAUUGGGAUAUGGAUGGAAUAUAAUGAAAUAUUUAUUAUUGUUGUCUUUAUUUAUUUAGUUAUUUAUUUUUAUUUAUUCAUUCGGGCCACGAAGCCAAAGUUAUAUUUAAUAUAGGUGGAGCAAGAUUCAAGCUAAGGGCUCGAAAACUAGAUCAGGACAGGUGAAAAGGGCCGAAAGCCUAAACUAGUUUAGGACAGGUUGAUUUGGGCCCAAUGGCCUAAAUCCCUUACUUCCUCCCCUUUUUCCUAUUCUUUAUGCUUGUUUUUCUUCUGUGUUUUGCGAACCUAGUAAAAUCCUUUGUCAAGUCGCUAAAAAAUUGGUUUUGCAUAAACACCAAAAUAUUCCUAAAAUUAUUUUCUUUCAGAAAAACAGUUUUUUUUUUAAGUUAGUCAAAAGACGUUUUCAAACAGUUCGGAUAACCGCAAGUUAGCGGGUGUUUUAGGUGCCUAACGCUUUCCUAAAACGUUAAUAGGAACCGCUUACUCAAAAUCUUCAAAACUUGAAUGAUUUUUCUGUUUUGGAUCGUUCAAAGUAACUCUCUAAAGGUUUCUUAUUUCCUUUUCAAAAUUAAGUGGCGACUCUCAAAAGUCAAAAAUUUUGUCAAAACAAUUAUAAGCACAGAUCCAUUUCCUGGGGUGAAUGUGAUAAUAUUUAGUGAAGCUUAUUAAUAUAAACGUGUACUUGUUUGUGAUGGUAUGACAACUCAUCUCCGAAAGAGGCAGAAUAGCUGAGAUGAGUUAUUUUGAAAUCUACUUCUGAAGUAGUAAAUUUGAAAUUUAUUCAUGUAAUAGUGAAUCAAAAAUUUAUAAAGAAAAAGUACAUGUCAUGGUAAACUUGGAUUUUACUAAUAUAAAAGUUUAUAAGUUGACAUGAACUAUUGCGACAUCCCAUAGAUGUACAUAUUAAGUAUUAAAUAUAUAUUGAAGAAUUCGAAAAUUCUUCUUGAGCUUUUAAUGUUGCUUGUUCUCAUGAUAAGUUGGUUGGACCAAUUAAUUUUGGGAUUGGAUCCCUCAAAAUCUGAAAAGAAUAAAAGGUGAAUAAGGGUACGUUCACCUAUUAUGUGAUAUGUUGAAAAUGAUGCAUCAAUAAGAUAAUCACAUGUAUAUUUAUUGUCAACCUGUAAUUUGACAUUCAUAAAGUUGAUUGCUCAAUAAAAUUAAGUUAAGAACGUAAUUUUCAGAUUGUGAAAUCAAGACAAUUCAUCUUAAUGAUGAUGGUUUGACAUUUAAUGCCUUCGAUAAAUAGUUAAGUCAUUGCUAAUGAGAAUAAAGUUUCAUGUGUUGGACUAAAAUAUGAUAUGUUGCAUACAAUAGCACUUGUAUGCAUUAGAUCAAUAAAUUAUGAUUAUUUCUUUUCUACCAAUUGGUUCAAGAUUAGGAAUCACAUGUUGUCCAUCUAAUAAUUUUGAUGUGCAGUAUACGAUUAAUGAAUAUACCAUGAUGCACAAAGAUGGACUCCUCAAAGAAGAUGAGGAUGAAUGUUAGUUUUUCUAACAUAAGUGGGAUCGGAGAUUAUAAGCAGCUAUGAAAUAUGUUAGGAAUUAUCAUAAGAUCCUCAUUCAUAAGAUAAUUCAAGUCAAAUGCCGAAAGCAUAUCAUAUUUAAGCUGCAAGUACUCCUAUUUUGUGUCCUUGAAGGAGAAAGUCUAUGCAUGCAUGAAACAUGGUAGACUAAUCGGUUUCAAAUGAAACAAGGAGCAAAUAAUCAUAAUAAGAAAGUAAUGUGCUCUUGAAGAGCCUACGACAUAACACUUCAUGAAAUCUUAUGAUAGGUUCAGGUAUCUAAAAAUAAUGAAGUGAUGAGAUCUCAAAAUGUUAUGUCACAUUGCGAAUCGAUACAAAAUGAGAAACUGUCGAUGAUAUCUUUAAUACAAUAUUGGCGCAAUAUUGUAAAAGAUUACGAGGAUCUGAAUUCUACGUUAAUUUAAGCAUGCUUACGUAGAAACAUUUAUCAAGUGACCUGAAAGGAUGCAUUUUGGUAAGCGUAAAACUUAUUUGAUUUACAGUCCAAACACUUGAAGAUAUCACACUUGACAUGUUGAAUAUUGCUACUUGACAAACAUCCAUACGAAAAUCUCUAAAGGAUUCAAAAUGCCUGAAGCAUAUAAAGUUUCUGGGAAACUUUUAUUAUCCUCAUAAGAUAUAAUUUAAUGAUUUGAGUAUCGUUGAAACUCUUGGAGAGUUUUCAAAAGCAAUAGAGUAUUUGCUUAAAUGAGAAAUAUGCAAAAAUUGAAUAAGGAUUCAUUCCGACCUCAAGAAAAGAAUGAGGAACUCCUUGGUUAUGAAGUACCAUAUCUUAGUGCAAUUGAUGUACUAAUGUAUCUUGGAAAUACUACAAGGCCUGAUAUAGUUUUUUUUUUAGUUAAUUUGUUAGCAAGUUUGCAGUCCCGAUUUUAUUGGUCAUACUGAUUUUGGGUAGUUAGCUAACCUACAUAAAGCUCGGCCUCAAAUAGGCUAUGUGUUCAUAUGCGUUGGUACUGCAAUAUCUUGGAGAUAUACAAAGCAGUCUAUCAUAGUCACUUCAUCGAAUCAUGCUAAGAUAAUAGCUAUUCAUAAAGCAAGCCGAGAAUGUGUAUGGUUGAGGUCCAUGAUACAUUUCAUUCGAGAAAAAUGUGGUGUGAAAUAUGGUAAUCUACCCACAAUUUUAUACGGAGAUAAUGCAUCAUGCAUAGCACAUCUUAAUAGAGGAUUCAUAAAAGGAGAUAGAACGAAGCACACUUCAUCAAAGCUUUUCUACAUACAUGAGCUAUAAGAGAAUGGUGAUAUCAACAUGCAACAAAUUCGUUCAAGUGAAAACAUGGCUGAUUUCUUCACCAAGUCUUCUCCAAUUACAACUUUUAAGAAGAUGGUGCACAAGAUCGGGAUGCAAAGGUUCAAAGAUGUUCUCAUUAGGGGGAGUUAAUACGCGUUGUACUAUUUUUCCCUUACGAGGUUUUGUCCCACUGGAUUUUUCUUGUAAGGUUUUUAAUGAGGCAACCGAUAUGCGUAUUGUUAGAAAUGUGUACUCUUUUUCCUUCACUAGAUUUUUUUUCCUACUGAGUUUUUUCUAGUAAAGUUUUAACGAGGCACAUUAUUUAUCUAGACAUUCAAAGAGUGUUAUAAAUGUAUUUACAUUAUAGUGAAUGUCUAUCAAGAUCUAAUAAUUUCUACUUUGAUAUCUAUUAGGAUUUGAAACAUUUGUCUUUUACUCAAAGUAGUAAAUUUUUCCUAUAAAUAGAAGGUUUCCUUCAUUGUAAAUCAUCCUUCAAGAGAACAAAUAAGAAUCACUCUCUUUAUUCUCUCUACUCUUCUUUUUUCUUCUUUAUUAGUUUAUAACAAUUUUUUCCUUUUUUGGGGGGUUAAAAAUCUAGUCCCGCUAUCAAAUUUGUAUUUAUACUCUUUGUCUAGCAACAAUUUAUUUAUAAUCAAGUCUUACUCAGUCCUAAAUUGACAAUUUAUUGAAUUUGGAAUACGUUUAUGUAUAUAAAUACAAUGUAUUAUAUUGAUCUUUUUUUACAUUAAAACAUAUUUUCCAAUAAGUAAUCGAUCGAUCAUCUAAAAAAAGUUACAAUCAAAUUUGAAUAUUGAUAUUAUGCCAAGAUGCUACGCAAUUGAUUGAUCUUCCAAAUAAAUGACUACCAAAUUUGACUACUGGUAUUAUAGCAAGUAUUCAAUAAACUUCCAAAUUAAGAUUCUAGUAGACAUAAUUAUCAUUAGCCGAACUUGUAUAUUAGCAUAGAGUAUGUACACACAAAAAUCACAAACACUCUCUUUUUAUUUAUUUUUUUUGGUGAUAGAAAGAUGGCAAUGUCUUCGAAAAUCUUUUUGAUCUUCCUUAUUCUUAUUGCCAUUGCAUCAGGUACCCUCUUUUCUCAACAAUAAAAAAUAUUGUAUUCAAAGGAGGAUCGAUUCAAUAUUGAAAUUUUAUGGGUUUUGAAGUUUAUGUUCUUAAAAUUAAACUUUUAUUUUUAAAAUAAUUAGUUUAAAUAUACUUUUUGUUAUUAAAAUUUUACACAUAAAAGUUAUGCUACUUGUCAAAAGUAUUAGGCUCAUAUGAACCUAGUGCGCUACAAAGCUAUAAGCCUUUGUAGAUAUUAGUGUUGUUGUUUUCUUUUUAUAACAAAUUUUUUUGUAUCAACUUCAUAUUGAUAUAGAUCUGCUGAAAAAUCUCAUUGUAUAAAUAGGUAAAAAAAGAACAACAUAUAUAUUAUAUGUUGAAUUCUUUCAACUUCUUGAUGCGUAGAUUUCUUUAUAUUUUGAUUAUUGUACUGACAAUGUUUUUAUAUGAUGAUAGUUUGUGUAGCAAAAGGACGAUGUGGAGAGACAUGUACAUCAAGCUAUAAGAACAUAUGCAGAGAUCAUCGAAGUGAUAACACAUGCAAAGCUUUUUGUUCAGAAAGAUUUGGAGCUUUAAGAGUGUGUUCAGCAGACUGUGUAGAUGAAGAUGAGACUAUCUAUUGUCAAUGUACCCUACAGAUUGAUGCAUGUCCUUAAAAAUGACAUUGUUUUUCCUUUUGUCUUUUAUUUUUAAUUUCUUGCUAUGAGGAUUACUGGCGUAAUUUCAUAUCUUCUAAUAAUAUGAAGUAUUAUAAUGAAAAUUAAAACG